rnacentral:rRNA from 1 species
AAACGACUCUCGGCAACGGAUAUCCCGGCUCUCGCAUCGAUGAAGAACGUAGCGAAAUGCGAUACUUGGUGUGAAUUGCAGAAUCCCGUGAACCAUCGAGUCUUUGAACGCAAGUUGCGCCCGAAGUCUCUAGGCUGAGGGCACGUCUGCCUGGGUGUCACGC